AGCCUUAUGGUGUAUUACAUGUCGGAUUGCAAAUCUGAAGAUGCAGGAUAACUCCUUGCUUGGGCUU
rnacentral:tRNA from 1 species